rnacentral:rRNA from 1 species
CAAUGGAGGAAACUCUGAUGCAGCGAUGCCGCGUGAGUGAAGAAGGCCUUUGGGUUGUAAAGCUCUUUCGUCGGGGAAGAAAAUGACUGUACCCGAAUAAGAAGGUCCGGCUAACUUCGUGCCAGCAGCCGCGGUAAUACGAAGGGACCUAGCGUAGUUCGGAAUUACUGGGCUUAAAGAGUUCGUAGGUGGUUGAAAAAGUUGGUGGUGAAAUCCCAGAGCUUAACUCUGGAACUGCCAUCAAAACUUUUCAGCUAGAGUAUGAUAGAGGAAAGCAGAAUUUCUAGUGUAGAGGUGAAAUUCGUAGAUAUUAGAAAGAAUACCAAUUGCGAAGGCAGCUUUCUGGAUCAUUACUGACACUGAGGAACGAAAGCAUGGGUAGCGAAGAGGAUUAGAUACCCUCGUAGUCCAUGCCGUAAACGAUGUGUGUUAGACGUUGGAAAUUUAUUUUCAGUGUCGCAGCGAAAGCGAUAAACACACCGCCUGGGGAGUACGACCGCAAGGUUAAAACUCAAAUGAAUUGACGGGGACCCGCACAAGUAGUGGAGCAUGUGGUUUAAUUCGAAGAUACGCGCAGAACCUUACCAACACUUGACAUGUUCGUCGCGACUCUAAGAGAUUAGAGUUUUCGGUUCGGCCGGACGAAACACAGGUGCUGCAUGGCUGUCGUCAGCUCGUGUCGUGAGAUGUUGGGUUAAGUCCCGCAACGAGCGCAACCCUCACUUUUAGUUGCCAUCAUUAAGUUGGGCACUCUGAA